AGGGCUGUAGCUCAGAAUUCUCUAUAUGGGAAUAGGGCGGAUAGACAUUGGGAACGACCGUGAAAUCCCGCCUUUCGGCUAGAGCGCCCCAGACGACCGGGGAGGUCGUUGGUUCAAAUCCAACCAGCCCUG
rnacentral:tRNA from 2 species